UCCCGCUCCUUCUGCCCCUCCUCUGGCGUCCCACAGAGAUCUAUUCUGGGUCCUUUGUUAUUUUUAUUUUUUAUUAACGACCUCCCCCCCCCCGUCUUACUGGCGCUGUUGCUGUUUUGAGGAAUACCCUCGAGUACUACUCCGUGAUCUGGUCACCCACCCGUCACUGUGAUCGUUUUGCCCUUGAAAAUGUGCACCGUGAAUUCACCCGUUACCUUUUCUUUAAGAAACGCUUCGAUCGUAUGGCCUACCCCUGCCACCUUCGCUUUCUGAACCCCCCUUUCAACAACAGCGUAGAUCCUAUCUGGAUCUAUGCACAUUUUUUAAACUUUCCUCGGAUUUGAUAGACUGCUCAGCCGCUGACGACAUCACCUGCCGUCCUGCAUCUUAUAACACACGUAGCGCAGACAUUUUCAACGUGCCCAUCACAUAGCUUGUGGUCUACUUUCAUUUCCCGAUUCCUAGGCUUUGCCGAAAUUACAACGCACAACAGCUUGGUCCUUUAAACUUCUCUACUUUAAGUAGUUUUUAGCAUAGGAUAAGAUCGUUGCUUUCUCCUCCUCCUGAGAACAGUAAGUAACUGGAGGUUACUCUGUUUGUUGUCCGUUAAUUAAAUAAAUAAUUUUUUGUUGAAGAUGCUGGGAGUCCUGAGCCCGCACCGCACCAUUUGGGAAGCAACUAACUUCCUCUUUUGUAGUUCAUGGACUCCUCUUUUUUGGGUUAAACACCCAAGUUUUCAAAAAAGAACGAAAAAGUUGACUGACGGUUUCGUCCAGGGGAGGGAGAUACUUUGCGCAAAUGAUCAGCCUAUUGAGCUCUACAUCCUCCCGUAGAUAUAUUCACUAUCCCAUCAAAUUAAUCGCUGUCACAGCGACUUCUUCCCCCAAGUGAAGAACAGCACGUCCACUACCCUUAUGCGCCAUUAUUGCCGGUCCGUCAAUAUAUGCCUUAUUUCUCUAGAUCAUUCCCGGAAGUUUACAUAGCCCUACCAUUGUUAUGCGCCUCGAGGACCCAUUCGUAGAUCACUUUGGAUUACUGCAAUAAACUGGUAUAACCUAAAACGCAGUUUUCAUCCUUUUUAAACUGUAACCUGUCCAAUGCCACUUCUGCCAUUUAAUCAACAUGCUUGCGUGAGGAUCUGGUCUUUUAAACGAAACCUUGCCAAGGUUUAUUAAAAUUUCUUCCGCAGACGUGAACGAUCGUGAAGUGAUCUUAAUGUCAUCCUCGUAAGGCUCAGCGCUAACAGCGUACCUUUAAUAUCUACCGGCAGCUGCCGUAUUGAGCGAAGAGAGAGAUUGAGUGAAAAUUAGGGUCAAUUCCACAAAUAUUUGAUAGAUGUCAAUAUCAAAUUAUUAGGACUUCCCCAACGCUUGUUCGACCGUAAAAAGUUGGUCGGUCAAAUCGAGACCUUCUUCAGUAAUCGCCAAUAGUUUCGUCGGCAUUUUGACUGAUUUUAAGUUCCAAUAUUUGUUAAGACCUCUUGCGGGAUUCGCUGGUAAUCCCUCAUAGCCCUUUCCAUUCCUGCUAGGUUCACCCAAUACAAUUCCUUCGGUUUUUCCUCCGUUUGGAAUAUGCCUUUGAACCAAAAAAUGAAAAACAUUUUUGAAGAAUUCGAAAUUCAAACCGAAGCCUGGCAAGUUUAGUGACAUUCCACAUGCUGCCUUGACCGGAGGACAUGGCGGAGUUCAAUGGACCAUUCCUCAAAUAUCUCGACCAGGCUAAUGACAUCUGUUUGCUCUCUCACCGAUUCAUGAACCUUAGCCAAAUGGCUGUGGAUUUGGAAAGUGAGGUAAGCCGGGCCGAACUGAAGAUAAACACCAACAAAAUCAAGGUUCCCAGUCUGACUGGUCAUCUCACUCUUUCUAUCUGCAUCAGCGGGCAGAACACCGAGGAUGUUAAUCAAUUUGUCUGUCUUAGUAGCGUCGGUUAUGCCAACGAUUUCAUAGAGUUUCAUGUCAUUCGACACAUUGACAGCGGAUGAAUCCGCCUUUGCUUUUUGACUAAAAUUUGAAAAAGCAGAUACCUCAAUAGCAACAUCAAUGUUCCACGCCUCUUGCUUUUAUAUGCGAGUAGCACAUGGAAAGCGACCAUCACUGUAACUCAAACGCUCCAAGCCUUCGUGAACGCCUAUCUCCGCUAUGGCAUCGGUGUACACCAUCCUGAAAAAAUCUCGAAAGAUGAGGUUUGUUGGUUAGAGAGCGAAAAUGGCAAUGGAUAGGUUUCACUUCAAGGAAGAGUGGCCAUUGCAUCGCUGACUACGCCACGCAAUAAAAGCCGUUCUCCCAGAGUGGCCAUUGAAUAGGUCGUCCUGGAAUCACAUCGAAGUAUACGAGGAAUGUAGAAUUCUUUGGUCGGCCUGGGGAGAGACAGAGGGUGUUUCCUCGAACGAGGAGUAUUCAAUCUUUCUUGUGGUGUUCAUAUUACUCUAAAUAAACCUCCGCUUUCUGAGUGCAAUCCAUCUUCGUACUUUUGGAUUUUUUGUUCUUGUUUAAAACCACUAUUACUUCGCCGGGUGGGUUUGUCUCGAGGCCCUCGUGCUGUUUUCUUCAGCUCCUUCCCAGCAGUUCAGAUUUCCCUUUCAAUCGCGGACUUUGCAUGCUCUGGAUUCUCCAGUAUGACACCGCAUCUGAACAACUGCCUGUAACAACCACCGUGUACCGUAAGGAACUGGAUAAUAUGGCAGUUCGUCUCUCCUGGCCAAGCAACAUUCUUGCAUGUGCCCCCUCCGUAUGUUUUGGAAGAUUCAGCGCACUCAUUUCGUCUAGGAUCAUGUCCGCCACCACCAAUACCACCGAAUUUGAUACGGAGGAAUCGAGUACAAUGGACCACUAUAAUCUAGGUAGACAGGCUUUUCUUCCCUUCCUCUCCGUCCUGUACCAAAAAGUCCUCUUUGAAAGGUAACUCUCCACCAAACUCGCCAAAUAUCCAGACACAUCUAUGUUAGUCAAAACGGUUUUAAUUCAGUUCCAAUUUUUGACAUCCAACGAAUUCCGCAUGUCUCUUUCCAGAUUUACCAUGGCGCAUAUUACAUUCACUGUAAUGUGGGUGUACCAAUAUCCGCACCGACGUUCCGAUAGACCAGGUGUUGGCAAAUAACUCGGGCGUAGUCUUUACUACUGACUUUAAAACUUCGUUAGGGAUGUCAUCCAAACUUGGCACCUGAUCACCGCCGACUCUACGGCACUUUUCUCAGCAGUUCCUUCUCGAUAACAAGAGGUCAGUUGAACUUGCAUUUGUCCCGCUGUUUUGGUGAUGAAAAACAGAGUUGGAGCAAUUUCUUUGAAAAUCGCAGGCAGUUUACUAGGGGUUAUUAUUGCAGCCUUUGUAUUACUACCCUAUAAGCCCCACCCGAAGAUUUCAUGUCGGUAUCUUCGCAGAACUCUUUAAAGUAGUUUGUUUUACUUUUUUGGAUCGUGUCUUUUGAGCUACUCGCAGUUACCAAUGUAUCAUCCGUUAACCACCGCUACCUAGUUUUUCUCUGAGCCUCUGGUAGAGCUUCCUUGCCCAAAAACAUGCAUCUCGCAAAGUGGCCAUUUCAGUGUUCUACCAUUACCUCCAGUUUCCCCUACUAUGUAGCAGUCUCUUUCUGGGCAUAGUGACAAUACUAUAGGUGACCUGAGUGCCUUUUUCUUUGACCGUACCAACCAGAGUUAUGUCGGGUUCGAUCACCGCAGAAAAUGUAUCCCCCCAGAUGCCUGCACUGCCCAUCGGAGCAAACCACCCAAAAUUCUGGGGGAGUUCAUUUUGGAGCUCAAUUCACCCUCGAUGUCUAUGCAAAUAGCUUGGUGGCCACUGUAAGUAUGGUCCCACUAACAUGACAAGCAGCUCUUCUGGCCAAAGUGACGCUGACAUACAUGAUCUAUCUAAAUUAGGGGGAUUCAUUCAGAAUUUAUUAAUGAGAAUAUUACAAAUGAUUCCGUAUCUACACACUCUUGCCAACGAGUUUUCCAGUUUUUGUAAGCCUCCAGGAACGCCUGGACCGGACCGCCUGGACCCCUGUUCACAGCCUGUUAAACCGUCUCUACCGAGACGUGAUGCUUCCCCUUGAGCGUUGAUUUUAUUCCCGGGAAUUAGAAAAAGUCUAGCGGGGCCAGGUUGGGCUAUAGCGGACCUGAGACAGCGUUACCACCUUGCGCUGGGCUAGAUAUUUCACUACGCGGAACGCAUUUUCAGAGCACAGUCGCUCUUGUCGGGGAUAGCUGGGUGGACAGGAAGAAAGCGUUUUUCAGCCUUGUGAGGACUUCUACGUAAAAACUGCAUUAGCUGUUUGUGGAGGUGGUACGAACUCAUAGUGGAUGACUCCAUGUCGAUCAAAAACUCAAAUGAAUUUGGGCGUCUACUUAGAUUUGCUCAUUCGUGUUUUAAGGUAGCAUGGGAAGAAAGAGUGUGCCAUUCUGAACUCUACCGCUUACUCUCCGCAUCGUACUCAAACAUCCACGUCUCGUCACCGGCCAAUACAUUGUUCAAAAACUUGGAGUUCUCAUUCACAUGAUGAAAAAGAUCCUGCCAGAUCGCUUUUCGAUUUUCCUUUUGCUCCUCUAACGAAAUUCACGGCAUCAACUUCAAGUACACUUCCCCCUGGCUAAGAUUUCUGUCACAGUCACAAAAAUUUGGUUUGAGUCGAGCUACAGUCAUAAGCAAUCAUUCGGUUGACGAUGCUGGAAAUGCUGGGAGUCUCGAAUCUGCAUCCACUUGAUGACUGACCGGACCACUUGGAAAACAACUUACUUCCUCUCUUGUGGUCCACGGACUCCUCUUUUUGAGUUAAACACCUAAGUCAAAAAGAAAAAAUCUUGACUGAUGGUUUCGGCCAGGCCAGAGGCAACUCAUCAGACGCUGCCUCACCUCUGUCCUGAGAGUAGUGCGACCGAAAGUGGCGACAGGUGGUAAUCGCUCCGUUUAUAUAAAAUCGCAAUGAAUCAUUCUGAUAACCAUCCUAGAAUCACUGCUCAGUAAAUUUUCCACUUGCGACACAUUUUCGCCGGUCUUGAUGGUCGAAGGGCGUUUAGAGCAAUUAUCGGCUUCGACUCUUCCUCUGCCCUCUCGAAGCAGCUGGUAUUACUCAAAAACACACGAUAUACCCAUGGUAGUAUUACCGUAGGCCUUUCUUAAGCACUUUACCGAGCAUAACACAAAAAUUGAUCGCAUAUUGCUAUCCCAGGAAAUCAUCCAUGAUUCUCCAUGACGAAACAUUUCCACAAUACAAGCGGUCUUUUCAACGGCCCUGAGCUGCCUGUCAUUUUUUUCUCACUCCACCGAUCCUGCACGCAUAGACCACCUCUCAUCUACCCAUUCGCCCGGGAAAAAACAGUACUAUUACUUCCAGAACAGCCCCACGAUAUACCCCGGGAUCCUUCCAUUGAAGUGCCAACAUUCAUAAGCGCCACGGUCAUUCCACCUGUUAAGAUUUCUAGCUACGAUAUGUGGCCUACGUUCUAUCAUGUCAAAACCUAGAGCACUCAGUAUUUGUUCAUACUACUUCGGUGUGAUUUCUUUCAGUUUUGCUCUACUGAAUCCCUGUUCUGGGUGCUCUGUUAUUUACUGAAAGGUCUGUUCUCCUGGAGUUCGCACCGCUGUUUGAUCCGUUCAUAAUUUCGAUAUGACAUGCUAAUUAUAGUCACGUCAAUAUCCUUCUUGCGGAUAGUUUUGGAGAACAAUCCCUGCUUCGCCUGGAAGUUAUGGGUUUUUCCAACCUCUGGUACUCAUUGAACUCGGCCUCCCCGGAUUUGCUAUUUUAUUUUGAGAACCCGAAAACUCGUUCUUUUUAUAAUGGAAAUCCUCAAAUAUUAAGAAAGAGAACGUUGUUCCGUUUUUGUCUAAAAGAUUUUCUAUUGUGUGCAGGUGCCGUAUUUCGGGAGCCAGUUGUUUCCUUUUUCAGUCCGAAUGUAACCGUUUCUUUGUUCAGCACAUCACGUUCGUACCGGGAAAAGAAAUAGAUGGUUCCCGAAACACAGUAUUUACAACAAUAAAAAAAUUGUGUGAAAAACAAUCUUCUUGGGACGAUGCUAAUGUUCCUUUUUGAAAUAACAUAUUCGGUGUAAGCAACGGUGAUCAGGUCGAAGGUGAGACAGCGACUGAAGAGUAGCCUCUGCCCUGACGACACAACCGUCAGUAACUUUUGAAAACGCGGGUAUUUGAAAGAGUGGUCCUUGUAUUAGAGGGGAACACCAUGUUUCUUUUCAAAAUCAGUGUAAUCCACCAUCAAAUUGAUUAGGAACUCAGAAGAACUCUAUCCUCAAAUAAAAAAGCAUUUUUAACCAAAAUUCUUUUAAGCAAAAACGGAAAAACCAUAUUUCUUCUCCAAACCUAAAACAGUGACUAAUAAAAAAGUUACUUUAGACUUCAAUUAUAAAUAAAUCUCUACUGCAUUUCGUUCUUCUCCAAAAAGUAGCAAUUGUUUUUGCUUCAGCACCUAUACAACGUGAGGCGUAUUUACUUUAUUCCAAAAAAUAGUCAUUCCAGCCGCCUUAAGCUAUCAAAUUUCAUCCUCAAAACCACCUUUCUAAAAGAAGAGAUAGACAGCUAACUAUCGAAACUGAUAUCAAAGAUAAAAUAUUAUAAAAGUUGAUUAUUUGAAAUAACGAGUUGUUUUAAUAGCACUUUAAAAAUUUUACCAAAAAUAUUAUAUUUAGAGAAAAACAAAUGAAAGCUUCAAAUCUAUCGAAAUGUUUAUUACUACUUUACAUGUUCUACUAUAUACCAACUCAAAAAUGCUACUCCAAAAUACAAAAAAAAAAGAUAAACUCAGAAUCACACAAUCAUCAAAUACAUAUUUUCGGAAAGUAUAAAUAAAUAUUCAUAUUGCGAAAUGUAAAAAGAAAAUGGAGAAUUAGAACGAUUAUAAUAGCGUAGAAAGUUAGCAACAAAUUCUUGAAAAUGUAUUUAUACAGUAUUCCAUUAACAUUCACAUAUACUACGGAAUUGUUGAAGUCAACGUUUCGGUUUCCCAUAACUAUAUAAUUUAUGAAUUUUAUACAAAACCAUAAGCUAAUCACUGAUCGGAACAUCAUAGCAAAAAAAGUAUUGUUAAUUGUUAUGAAAGCACAAAUAUUCAUUCGGUAUAAUUCGUUCAACGAAAAAUUUAGAGGAAUCAAACGUUCCGAAAGCAAAGAUGUGACAAAUUUUACAAUAAUACUAUAUGUUGCUACUAAGUGACACCAAUACGAUCGAUCUAGUAUGCAGGAAUGAUUUAUGGGAUUUAUUUAUAUCAAUUGUUCACUCAAACGUACAUAGAAUAGAUAAUACCAACUAAUUAUCAUAAACGAAGCAAAAACUUGCUUUUGUCAUUAACCAACCAUAACAGUUGGAUUACAAUAACAAAUUGCGAAAAAUAAUACAAAGCCUUUGUACUGAAGUUUAAAAUAAUUAGACGCACACCAUCCUUAUUUUUCGUACUCAUCGAACAUAUCCCUACGGUCACAAAACGAGUGAAUAACACAAUAAAUUGCUAAAAACACACGAAUUUAUAUCACAUUUUCAUAAUUUGCAUCACAUAUAAGGAUCCUAAAGUACUCAUGCACAAGCUCGAAAAAAAGCGAAUACUACCAGUGGCUAGAAGAAAACUCAAAACGCGGAUAUUUUCUUCGGUUCACAAUAAAUAAGCAGAAAUGCAAAGAGAAUUAUUGACAACUAUACAACUACAUAGCAAAUUAAAUUAAUAGUAUAUGUAUAUACAUAUAUAUUUGGGGUUUACAAAUGAAAUUAAUAAUGAAAUUUACAAAAAAAAAUGAGCUCUAUUUAAAUAUUUCUCAUGUAAAUAUUUGAUGAAGAAAAUAUAUUAAACAUGGAAAUUCUUUUACUGUGUUUUGAAUGCAUUUUUAAACAAAAAAAAAACAAGCCUGAGAUAUAUUAGAGUAAAUACAACAAAACAGUUAUGGAAUAAGAAGUUGAUUUAAUCCGAAAUUUAAAAAAAAAAACAGCUUUUUCAUUGCUAUACUUGUAAGAAAUUACUUAUUAUUAAGAAACAAUAAACCAGAUAUGAAUUUAUGGAGAAAAAAACCAUUUGAUGAACUACAUAUGAAGAUGAACAAUACAAAAACAAAAUGAAUUCAAAGUGAACAUUCGUUACAAAUAAAUGAAAAACAUGUUGUGGAAGCUUUA